GGGAGCAUGGCGGAAUUGGUAGACGCAACGGACUUAAAAUCCGUUGGUUUGUGUAAAACCGUGAGGGUUCGAGUCCCUCUGCUCCCA
rnacentral:tRNA from 1 species